ACUGAAGGAAAAAUUUCUUCACAGAAGCAGUUAUCAAGCACUGGAACAGGCUGCCCGGGGAGGUGGUUGAGUCACUAUCCCUGGAGGUGUUUAAAGGGUUAUGAUUUCCAGGAUACAGAAAGUCACAGUAGUUGAUUCUAGAUGUUGCACAUACCUACUUUGUUUGAUUUCCUUGAUGCAGAAUCCAUGGCUUUGAAGCUGCAAGACACUGUGGGGUUGCAUUGAAUACACAGGAACUAUAGUAACUCUGUGGCUAGGUACAACACAUGCUAAAUGCUGCAAACUGCUCCAGUCCUUGAGCUGCUUUAGUCCUGCUGUGUAAUUGAAUCUUUGGGCUGUCCUGAAUGAUUGCAAAGGCCAGAAAUAACUGAAGCAAGAAAGUGUGAAAGAGGAACAAUUGUCAUGGCACUUUUUCUUUCAGCUCUCUACAAUGAGGCUCCUAGGCCUUUCCUCAUGAGCAUGAUUUGCCCAUGGUUGCAUGCAGAAGUUAUGAGGACUUCGGGCUGUGUCCAUGACACAAGGUUCAGGUCAACAUUAGAAGGGUUACGGAAACUUAAUUACUUUCUGGUAUAGAAUGAAUUGAUUAUAUCUAUUCUGGCAAGUUGUACAUGUUUAGGAAUAUUCUUCGUCAUUGAGGCUGGCUCCCAAGGCUUUGGUGAUUGUUAGCGAACUGUCUGCUAGUGACCCUCCAAAACUAUGCUCCUGCACAUGAACUAUGGCACAAGGUCUUUGAGUGCAAACCAUGCUUGGAAAAGGCUAAGAGAGAUUCUGGCUACUUGGGAGAGGCCACACUGAUAUCAAGAAGCACCCUAACAGUUUUCUGGUGUAUACAUAUGAACAUUUCACUACCUGAGACCAUCACUGAUGAUGUUUGAAUUGGCAGCAACAGCCAUGAUUCCUUCACAGGACAAAAAUUAUAUAACUAGUUUGAAAUUCCAUUUGUCUGUGACUUCAAAACCCAUUAUGCUUUUACAUGAAAGAAGAGUUUCCAAGUGCUUAAAAGAAAUAUUUUCCAAUUACUCAGUCCUAUUACUUGGCUACUGUAUCUCCAGCUCUGUAUAGGUUUUCACAUCACCUACCUGGCUUAAUUUCUACAUGUUUUAUAAUGAUUUCAUUAAGUGACAUCACAGACACUGUAGAUUCUUUCUACCCUCUUGGACUCAUGAGGGCAAGAAAUACUAUGAUAUGGAUGUUAUUUUUUUGAAAGGACAUUUAAAAUGUGUUUGCUUUUAUAUACAGUGCUGCAUAUUUAUGUUAAAGAAAGUGAAAGAAAGCAGCAAACUUUGUGAAAUGCAAACAGUAAGCUUUGUGAUUAGGCUUAAGACUGUGGCUUGGCCAGGAAGGCAGACCUCUAUGCAUACUAAAUAAUUCCAAAACAUUGAUACUGCGAGGGCAUUUGUAUUAUGCGAACAAGAAAUAACUGAGAUUAAGCAGAGACUGUGCUUGUCCAAAGCGCAUUUCCAAAUA